UACGUAGGGGCGAGCGUUGUCCGGAAUUAUCGGGCGUAAAGGGUUCGUAGGCGGUAAUACAUGUCAGAUGUGAAAUCUUGUGGCUUAACCACAUCAAGCAUCUGAAACUGUAUAACUUGAGUGGAGGAGAGGUAAGUGGAAUUCCUAGUGUAGCGGUGAAAUGCGUAGAUAUUAGGAAGAAUACCAGUAGCGAAGGCGACUUACUGGCCUCUAACUGACGCUGAUGAACGAAAGCGUGGGUAGCAAACAGGAUUAGAUACCCUGGUA
rnacentral:rRNA from 1 species